rnacentral:misc_RNA from 1 species
GUGAAUCAUCAAAUUUUUGAACGCAAAUUGCACCCUCUUCGGAGAGUAUGCCUGUUUGAGGGUCAGCCUAAAAAAAAAUCGACAUAGUCGCUUUUUCGCGGUGAUUUUCGUCGGAAAUUGGGUCAUUUUAAAUUUUUGGGCUUUAAGCGGCUUAAAUUUUUUUUUACGAUUACACGAAUUUCUCU